rnacentral:tRNA from 1 species
AGGAGGUUCGACUAGUGGUAGGUCAGCAUUCUUACACAGUGCCUGCAGCUGUUCGAAUCAGCUACUUCCUA